UACGUAGGUGGCAAGCGUUAUCCGGAUUUAUUGGGUGUAAAGGGCGCGUAGGCGGGAGCGCAAGUCAGAUGUGAAAACUCAGGGCUCAACCCUGAGCCUGCAUUUGAAACUGUGUUUCUUGAGUGCUGGAGAGGCAAUCGGAAUUCCGUGUGUAGCGGUGAAAUGCGUAGAUAUACGGAGGAACACCAGUGGCGAAGGCGGAUUGCUGGACAGUAACUGACGCUGAGGCGCGAAAGCGUGGGGAGCAAACAGG
rnacentral:rRNA from 1 species